UUAAGUUCAGCGGGUAUCCCUACCUGAUCCGAGGUCAAACUGAGAAUCAAAGACGUGUGCGGCAGCCCUGCAGCCUGGUGCUUGUACGAACAAUCUGCUACGCGCAAGACCAGCCGCCGGACGCCGAUGCUUUUCAGGCGAGUCCGCCGCGCAGUGCGGGGACAAACGCCCAACACCAAGCUAUGCUUGAGGGGUGUAAU
rnacentral:misc_RNA from 1 species